GCAUAUCAAUAAGCGGAGGAAAAGAAACCAACCGGGAUUGCCCUAGUAACGGCGAGUGAAGCGGCAAGAGCUCAAAUUUGAAAGCUGGCUCCUUCGGGGUCCGCAUUGUAAUUUGCAGAGGAUGCUUCGGGAGCGGUCCCCAUCUAAGUGCCCUGGAACGGGCCGUCAUAGAGGGUGAGAAUCCCGUCUGGGAUGGGGUGCCCGCGCCCGUGUGAAGCUCCUUCGACGAGUCGAGUUGUUUGGGAAUGCAGCUCUAAUUGGGUGGUAAAUUUCAUCUAAAGCUAAAUAUUGGCCGGAGACCGAUAGCGCACAAGUAGAGUGAUCGAAAGAUGAAAAGCACUUUGAAAAGAGAGUUAAACAGCACGUGAAAUUGUUGAAAGGGAAGCGCUUGCGAUCAGACUCGCCCGCGGGGUUCAGCCGGCAUUCGUGCCGGUGUACUUCCCCGCGGGCGGGCCAGCGUCGGUUUGGGCGGCCGGUCAAAGGCCCCUGGAAUGUAACGCCUCUCGGGGCGUCUUAUAGCCAGGGGUGCCAUGCGGCCUGCCCGGACCGAGGAACGCGCUUCGGCUCGGACGCUGGCAUAAUGGUCGUAAGCGACCCGUCUUGAAACACGGACCAAGGAGUCUAACAUCUACGCGAGUGUUCGGGUGUCAAACCCGUGCGCGCAGUGAAAGCGAACGGAGGUGGGAACCCUUUGGGUGCACCAUCGACCGAUCCUGAUGUCUUCGGAUGGAUUUGAGUAAGAGCGUAGCUGUUGGGACCCGAAAGAUGGUGAACUAUGCCUGAAUAGGGCGAAGCCAGAGGAAACUCUGGUGGAGGCUCGCAGCGGUUCUGACGUGCAAAUCGAUCGUCAAAUUUGGGUAUAGGGGCGAAAGACUAAUCGAACCAUCUAGUAGCUGGUUCCUGCCGA
rnacentral:rRNA from 1 species